rnacentral:rRNA from 1 species
AAUGAACGCUGGCGGCGGGCUUAACACAUGCAAGUCGAACGGACUGAGGGAGCUUGCUCCCAAAGUUAGUGGCGGACGGGUGAGUAACGCGUGGGUAACCUGCCCUAUGCAGGGGGAUAACGUUUGGAAACGAACGCUAAUACCGCAUAAUCUAGUUGGUUCGCAUGAACUGACUAGCAAAGAUUUUAUCGGCAUAGGAUGGACCCGCGUUAGAUUAGCUAGUUGGUGAGAUAACAGCCCACCAAGGCAACGAUCUAUAGCCGGCCUGAGAGGGUGGUCGGCCACACUGGGACUGAGACACGGCCCAGACUCCUACGGGAGGCAGCAGUGGGGAAUAUUGCACAAUGGGCGCAAGCCUGAUGCAGCGACGCCGCGUGAAGGAUGAAGGUCUUCGGAUCGUAAACUUCUAUCAGCAGGGAAGAAUACCAUGACGGUACCUGACUAAGAAGCCCCGGCUAACUACGUGCCAGCCGCCGCCGUAAAAC